UCAUAAGUUUCCGUAUUAUCAUCCAUACAAAAACUUGCUUCUAACUAAAUUAAACAUAGCUUACCUUAAACUUAAGACCGGGAUCAUGUCUUGUGUUGUGAGCUCAUCUCUUGCCUAGUUGUAAAUUUUGUAAAUAUGUACAAUCCAAUUUUCUUGAUAAACCCGAAGUUAUUUGUGCAAAGAGGAACGCAGCCGUAAACUAUUGUUUCAAACAAAGAUCUUGAGUGGAUAGCCUCGCUUUCAAAACGUUUUUGAGUAAGAUGGCGGAUACGUGUUAAUCUCCUUAUACCUGAGAACCAGGGUUUACAAAAUGUAUGCUAUUAUGUUUGAUCACCGAGUAGGCUUAUGCAGUUUGCAUAGUGUGUUUGCGAUUUUCCUUGGAAAAUUAAUUAGACUUGUUGAUCAAAUUGAAAAUCUCGAAAACAUUAUGAUUACUUUGGCAGACGAGAUUAAAUAGUGAUAAUAAAAGAACCGUUACAUAUUUCGGAAACUUUUUCCAUCCCUGGGCACUAAAGUUACACAUGAGAUGAGUUCCACUUUGGACCAAAAAGAGCCCUCCACGCAGACUUCCAGUCCUGGCUACGGGCUUGCUUGAUAGUGUUUGGCCACAAAGAUACAGAAUUUAGUGGUUGACCAGACUGCGUUUCUCUAGCACAAAACAGAAGGGUUCAGGCAGGUACCACAUUUAAUCACCUUACAGUGAUGGACAGUGGAAAUGUGAAAUUUGUGACAAAGUCCUGCACACUAAUUCAGGGUAUAGAAGGCACAUGCAAGGCCACUCUGGACUUAACCGAAACUACCAUUGUGAUCUAUGCCUGAAAGUGUUUCACUGGAAAGACAGUCUUUUGCGACACAGAAAAAUUGUUCAUCCUCAUGACAGUUAAAUCAGCCUCUGUGCAAAAGCUGCCCGAGCAUUCUAACAAACAAAAAAAUAAAAUUAAUCAGGGUUUUUUGAUGAUAUUUUAGACUAUUGCUUUCACCUAGUUCUGGAGAAAAUAUUUACUGCAGUGCUUUAUAAAAUUAGUGAUGUUGUUUAACAUUAUUAAACACCCUUUGUAUAUAAAAAAAAGGUUUAAGUGUGAUUAAAUCCAAUUAUUAAUGAUUUAAAUGCUGCUUCAUAUGAAAAUAAGUGUUUUGUCAGAGAAGUGGAUUUUAAUCUAUAAUUUAUAUAAUAAACUUCCUUCAAGCUGCAAUUAUCCAAAAUGAGGCUUAUAAUAAAAAUGUAUUUUCAGAGAAGUCAGUUUUAAUAUAUCAUUUAUAAAAUGAAUUCUUCUCAAGUUUCAGUUAGUCGAAAUGAAGUAUAUAAGUAAUGGAAAAAAAUAAUGCUUGAGGGUAAGAUGCAACCCAUUAACUAAAAAAAAAAAAAUUCUAAAGUUACAGCAUUUAUUUAAAGAUGAAAAUUAAGUCUAAUUGUCAAGAGAACUUUGGUUGUGACUGUCUUUAUUUAGGCUUAUAAAUGCAAUUGUGAUAAUCUAUUCCUUAAAUAAAUCAAACUGUUAUUUUUCCAUCAUAUGAAGUGUGUAUAAUUAUUUUAAUAUAUAUUACUUAUUUUUGCAAGCAUAUAAAAUGUUGUGCAUGUAAAUUAGGAAAAAAAGUUUAACUUGACAAUUGGUAAUGUAGAAACUGAAGUUAAUGAAUUAUUUUUUUAUUUAGAAAUCAAGAGAAAGGAAUUAGAACAUAAUGAUAACACUGUGUAUUUAUGAAGUUAAUUUUUAUAUUGUAAAACUUCAUUAAAGAUUUUUAUUUAAGUAAUCAUGUCGUAAUUGAAUUACAUUGCUUAUCUCUCUAUCAAUUAUCCCUUUUCAUUUGUAGCAAUAGCCAUCCAUAAACCUUAAUUCACAGUCAUCCAUAUGUUGAUGAAAUUUAAACAUUCAAGUUUACAUCUAAAAAAACUUACUUAACAUUGUUUUCUCAAUGUCACUUUGUCUUGAUUUGAAUUGCUGUAUAACAAGGUUCAAUAAAUUUGUUAUAAUAAAUUUGGUUUGAUUAUAAUGAAUAAAAUAUUAAAUAGUAGAAAGCACUAGUCAGAAUUAUUAUAAGCUGGAAGUAACAUUUACUUAUUUUAUAUAAAUUAUGCAAUAGUAUACAAGCACAUCAAUCACUAGGUGUAAAAUAAUUUUUCCUUAAUAAGCAAGUUUCAGUUUCUUUUUGGUUGAAUAAAUUUAAUUAUUUUUAGGUAAUCUCCAGUGGACUGUCCAGAGUUUUCAUCCUACUCCUCUGAAACAACGUCGGGAGCUUUACAACUGUACAAUAUGUGGAAAAAGUUUCAAGGCAAAGAAGUAUUUGGAUCAGCAUUUACACAGUCAUACAGUACGGUCAUUUGAAUGCCCUCGAUGUUUGUUGAGGUUUCGUUGGAAGAAAAACUACAUGUAUCAUGUCAAUAAGAAUGUUUGUCAACCUCACUGGUCUUCGACACUUGGUUGUAUAAAUUAGUACCGAUGUAAUAAAAAAUAGUCAUGUUACAUGAAGAUUCACCUGAAAAAAAAAACUAUUAUUUUAUGAAGAGUUUCAUCAACAUAGUCUCACUUCUUGUUUGUACAAAUUUGAUAUCAGUAUUUUGUUAUAGUUUAGUCAUCUAUGUACCUGUGGGGAGUGGCUGUACAGGUGUUUUCUAAGUUAUCAUAUCCUUCAGUUGGUCUUUGAAACUGUUGUACAUAUAAAAAACAGCAAUGAUGUUUUAGUACAUGAUUGUACAGAUUACAUUUUCUGUUUUGUUUAGUUUAUUAUUUAAUAGUUUUUGAAGAUUCAUCACAACUUGAGUGUAUGAAUUACUACCAGUAUUUUGUGUGUUUGUUCAGAAAUUUUGAUGCAUUGUUUUAUUAGUCAUCAGCAAAGAUAAUUUACAUCAUGGUUAUGGCUAGUUAUGAGGUCACCGAGGUCCAGACCUUGGUUAAAAUUUGAAAUUAAAUGUAAUGUACUCUUUAAUUUUAAACCAAUAUGGAAGAGGUAUACAAUAUAUUAGGCUGACCCCUAUGUGCGUAUUGGUGUUUGGACCUCUGGAAAAUUUUCACUCUAGCUAUGGCCAUGUUUCACAUUAGUUGAUUUUUUUAAGAGUAUGAUCUCUUUUUUGUACAUACAUAAUAAUUAAUUCCUUGUAGUGCUCAUCAAAAGUAUUUAUAUAAUUACUGCAUCUGUUAUAAAAAAUUAUAGAUUUUUUUUUAUGAUAAAUAGGGUACACUGACAUCUUGAUAAAGAGAAUUACUUUAACACAGAUUAACUACAUGAAAAUGUUCUCUGAAAACAAAAGUUGUUACAACUAUUGUGUAACGUUUAUAUAUGUGUGUGUGUGUGAAAUAAAGUGAAUAGGUAACAUCAGAUGCUUUUAGCACCAUUAGUAGAUAAACUUAACUACCAAGCAUAAUUUUUGAAAAGAUUAAUUACAACAAUGGUAAAAAAAUUUAACAUUUUAUUCUGGUUGUUUUAGAUUAUAUUUAUUCUACUUUCAGCAAUGUACUUUGAAAACUACUAGGUUAUUGCAUUUUGGAAAACUAGGAAAAACACAAAUAGAUAAAUCUGUGGAUUCUCACAUGUACUGGGUGCCCUCCCAAGCCUGUCAAUUAGUAUUUCGAUGUCCUGUUUGUAAAAAAGAUUUCAAAGCUCGUAGGAACUUGAAGCAACACAUGCAAGGCCACGGAGAACAACUUCAUUGUCCCAAGUGCUUUAUGAAUUUUAGAUGGAAGUGUAACCUGUCCUACCACACACGUCACCGUUGUCCUUACAGAAAUACAACAGUUGACGAGAAAUGAUGUCUUCUUUUUUUUUUAAUUAUUUAUUUCAUAAGGUGCUAAAUGUGCAAAACACCAUCCAUAGGUUGGAAGUUGAAAUUUUAUUUGUUAUUGUUGAUAAUAGCCUUGAACAUUUCCCAUGAUGUGUAUUAUUUAUGAAAUGAAUAGUCAUUGGGUACUGUUUCUGGACAAGCUGAAUUGAUAUAUAUGUUUCUGCAGACAAAUAACAAGUGGUUCUUGUUAAUAAAAUUUGUUUUUAUAAUUAUGUAAGUAUGGCUCAUUGUAUCUUGGAUUAGGUAAAAUAUGGUGUUAACUGUGGUUUUGUAAGAAGAAAAAUCAAGAUUAUUUAAAAAUAAAGGUUAGUUUAUUUUAGUAGUGUUGUUAAUUACUUAUACUAGUAUAAUUAUUUUGAAAAAGUGUGCAGAUAUUUUUAUGUGUGAAUUUUUCACAGGCUUUGGAUUUGUACCUUUUAAUUAACUUAGCCAUUUUUGGAAAAUGUGAAUUAUGGUUAGAAAAAGCAAGUUUGUAAUGGCAAUAUCUGGUAAUCUGUAUUAUUCAGUGUCCACAAUAUUAGAUGAAUAAGAAGUUUUGUGCUAUUUAUUGAAUAAAUACCUUUUUUUUUUACUUCAUACAACUCUAAGGACAUACCUUUGUGUGUGCUAGGUAAACAGAAAUGACAGCUUGACUGUUCACAGAAUAUGUUAGUAGUAGCCAUUUGUGUUUGGGUACAAAGUGUUUUGGUAGUCAAAUAUGCUACUUCAAAUACAAUCAUUCAUGACAUCAUAAAGUGUGUAUACAUAUCUAAAAACUAAAAUUUAUUCUUGUAUACUAAGUGCCAGAUCUGUAAUCCAUUAUUUUGAAAAUUACUGGAUAAAAAAUGAAAGUGUAUAGACCCUUACCAGAGUUACUGUCUCUGUUUUUACUUGUGAAAAUGUGUAUUCAGAAGUUUGAUGUUAAUGAACUUGUACUGGUUGUUAUUGGAUAAAAAAUGAAAGUGUAUAGACCCUUACCAGAGUUACUGUCUCUGUUUUUACUUGUGAAAAUGUGUAUUCAGAAGUUUGAUGUUAAUGAACUUGAAAUAUUCUAACAGAAAAGGUAGAUUUUUGAAUCUGUAUGUACUGUGGUGUAAACAGUUCUCUCAAAAUAAAGCAUUGAUGAUAGAUUUCAAAAUAAACAAUAUAUAUAUUUAUUAAUGAGUAUUAACAUCCAAGAAAAAAAGGGAAUCAGUACGGGAAAAGAACAGCUAUAUAAUCUAUGAAAUUCUCUCAUAUGUGUUAUUGUGUGGUAGAUAAAAUGUUGAUGACAGUUUAGAUGGUAAUACUAUAUAUUAUAUUUAUUUCAGGAUUUUAUUUAAUGCACUUUGCUGCGACGUAACAUGUUUUUCUACCAUAGUUAUGUGUUCAGUCGUAUUCAACACACGCUUAUUACUAAGAGUUUUGAUUAACGGAAGGGGCUUUUCAAUAAUCCCCCCCCCCCCCAAAAAAAAAAACGUAAUGGACUAAAACUUAAAAAUGAAAGGUAUGGGGUUAUAGUAAAACUAAUUUUUUUAUUUUGAGUUAAAAAGUAAUGUUGUUAAAAUAUCAUUUGCUUUAAGAAACUUUAAUUUGCUUUAUACAAUGUUUUGAAAUGUAUGCAAUGUAAUAAGAUCACUGAUGAACUGUCCCCCAUAGUUAGAUUUGACUUCAAUAUAAUAAUAACAUAAGAGGCCUUUCUGUUACAAAAAAGGAUUGAAAUUUCGUUCUUAUAAGACGAGUUUUUUGUGUUUUUUUU
rnacentral:lncRNA from 1 species